ensembl:lncRNA
GCUUGCCCCCAGGCAAGUUUUGAAAAACUUGCCUUGCUGCCAAAGUUGCUGGUUCCAGCUUUGCAUAUUGCUACCUGUACAUUAUCCUCAUUUAGAGGAACAAUUUGCCGAGCUUACUAAUGGCUUAUUCAUGUUGUCGAAGCCCUACAACAAAAAGUACCGAAAUCAUUGACUCUAAAAAUAUACCUCCCAAUGGGCAUGCUCUUUGAUUUGUAGUCUUCAUACUUUGGGUCAAUAUUGUGCAAGAAUCUUUCCAGCCCCUCUUGCCUUGCUCAUAUUUUAAAGCAUACUCUUGCACUUUCUCCUCUUUUAUCAGUAUCUACCAACCAGUCCUUUUUCUGUAUCAGGUUGGGCUGGAUCCCACCUGGUAAAAUUCCUGGUUGGGCAACACCUGGUGCGUGCCCAGCCUUGAUUGACUGACAGUAAUCCACUGAUUAUCCAAAUACUCCACUCCUUAUUUCAGCAGCCUAAUUGGAACAGAACAAAAUUCUGACUUCUACGUUGGGAGACUUUUAAAAUGGAAUAGAAUCCAGAUAUCUGAAGCUUCAUCUCAUAAACUAAUGCAUACUUCCUAUACGUUGUACAUGGCUGGAAUUCUACAGAUACAUGUCCAAAAGUCUCCAAAUGAUUCAGUUUGCUGGGGCACAGCAAGAGGAACUCAACGCCUUUGUCAAAGCAACCAGAGAAAGGAAACCUGGAGGCAAAGUUAAUCUUUUUUUUUUUUCUUCCUGGCCCUGGAGUCCAGAGAUAUCCAGUGACAGGGGAACAAGCACGCUUGUCAUCACCUGCUCAGUCUCAGAAGACUGCUGCAAAGAUCGGAACAUUUUUCCAUGCAAACAAGGGACAUUAAAAAAGCCUUUAGAAUGGAAUGAUGACAGUACGUAAACUCUGGGUAAAAAGAGCCUGGACAUUGAAAGCUUCCGCCAGGAGCCCACAAUGUGCUAUUCUUUGGGGAUCAAGAGGAGAAGGUCUAAUCUUAUCCUGUUUCACUGACUUAUCCAAACAGCAACUGCCUGCCAUGUUACUUUCCCCUGAAAAAAACUAUUCUUUGGUGGAAGGAAAUACAGAUUGGAAGAAUUAAUUGCAAACAUCAUGGGCUUUUCUUUGGAAAGCUCAGCAAUUCCCUAGGGGAGGGAGAGACACUUUGGGCACUAAAAAAAACCAAACAAACAAAACCAGGUUGUAACACAGCCAAGUGGUUCCUAUGUUACCUUUUUGACAGCAUCAUCUAGUCUCCACAGUCAUAUAAGAAGUGGAAAAGACUGAAUGGCCAUAUAAGUAUUAAGAUUUUUUUUUUUGGUGGAGGCUUAAAUUAUCAAGAUGGUGUAGUACUGACUUCCUUGGAGAGUGAAGUGAAAGUGCCAUCACUGAAAUGUUAAUGCUUAAUUCCUACCUUGAUGUGAUUUAAAGAAUUAUUUUUCUUUUCCAUUUUCGUGGAGAAGGGUAGUCCUAAAACAUUCUUACUAUUGCUCUUUGGACGUAGUCAAGGGAAAACUAAAGGAGUAGCUGCAGACAUUAGGAAGUCCAGACAAGAGAUUCCCAGCCCACAGCCAGCUCUUCAUGUUUCCCACAAUUAGGCCAAUAAAAUCAUACCAAUAUUUUUUUUUUCUAAAACA